AGGCUCUUGCGUUUCUGAGGCCCUGGCGUACCAGACACAGCAAGGUGACCACCUCAACACUCAAUGUCUAUUCUCCCUCUUCUUGGUAAGUGAAUCCUGAAUUCGACUGGAAAAUCCAGACAGAAAGAUACUCCAAGUUCGUCGAGUCACAAUUUUUGGCAAAAGGACAACACGCGCGUCCUGGGAACCCCUUCCUUUAUACCAAAUUGCAAAUUCAGAGCUCUCAAACAUCUGCUCACACUGGUCUCUGCCAGGCCCUUUCCGCCCACCCUGGGAGGUACCUGUGUCAUCUCCAUUCGGCAAAGGAGUUAACACAGGCUGAAGAAUGCAAGGGGGAGAAAGGCGGGAUUGAAAAGGAUCCGUGCCAUUUCCUAGCUCAUCGCCUUGCACUGGGGACGCGGGAACCCAACCAGGGUGCAGCCACCGUGCUGCAGCGGGAGGUGUAGGAGAGAAGAGAGGACUCCUUACCAGGGGAUUAGCUACUCAAGUGUUAAAGGACAUCUGGGUACGGCGGCUGACCUGCGUGUUCCACAGUAGACACCCAAGGAGGUUACAGCUGCAGUCAUCAUGCCACGCUUUACCCAGGACUAAACUGCACCUGUUCUGCCUUUCCCAUGACUGGGCCACACCUGGCUUGGGGCCAAGGGCUCCACACUCUUCCAGCUCAAGGACGGGCCCCUGGGGCCUCCUGGCAGCAGAGCCAAAAUGCUGAUGUGAAAGAACCUCUAAAACCUACUAACUUCUAAAACCUACAACCUUUAAAAAGACAGGCCGAUAACAGAAUCUACAGCCCCAGUCUCUCCGUCUCUGUAAGAUGUGCGCUCUAGGAAGAAGGAAAGAUCAUUCAUUGUUGGCCGUGUCGCUGCCUCCCCUGGCCCCUCUUCUGUCUUUAGUUGUGGCUGAAUUCCCAGGAUGCCCUUCACAACUGCUUCACAAGCCUUUACCCACACGAAAAAUGACCGGUGCUCUCUCGUUUUUGUUUUGUUUUGUUUUGUGUUUUUUAAGAUUAUUUUUUUAGUAAUCUCUACACCCAAUGUGGGGCUCGAACUCACAACCCCAAGAUCAAGAGUUACAUGCUCUUCGACUGAGCCAGCCAGGCGCCCCAUGAAUGGUGCUCUUUAAGAGGUUAUAGAUGGAUAGGUUACCGGGCCUAUGUAAUCCACAAAUAACCUCUUAUGGAAUGCUGAAAAAUGGCCCCCCAAAGAUAUCCCCAUCCCAAUCUCUGGAACUUGUGAAUGUUACUGCUUAUGACCAAAAACCAAACAACAACAACACACAAAAAACCCAAAGUCUUGGGGCGCCUGGGUGGCUCAGUCAUUAAGUGUCUGCCUUUGGCUCAGGUCA